UGCCUAAACUCUACAACAAUGUAGGGUAUGGCAAAAAUCCUUGUCAGAAGUAAGCUCUUCAUGAGAAUCUGACAAGGUCUUGCAGGGAAACUUGCAUGGGGGCGCAAGCCUC
rnacentral:sRNA from 1 species